GGACGUACCCAAGUGGUUACGGGGGUUGACUCGAAAUCAACUGUGAUUAUUUCGCACAGGUUCAAAUCCUGCCGCCCG
rnacentral:tRNA from 1 species